CCAGCCGUAAACGAUGGAUACUAGGUGUAGGAGGUUUCGACGCCUUCUGUGCCGGAGUUAACGCAAUAAGUAUCCCGCCUGGGGAGUACGGCCGCAAGGCUGAAACUCAAAGGAAUUGACGGGGGCCCGCACAAGCGGUGGAGCAUGUGGUUUAAUUCGAAGCAACGCGAAGAACCUUACCAGGCCUUGACAUCCUCCUGAGCAGCUAGAGAUAGCUGGGCGCGGCUUGCCGCGAGGGAGAGACAGGUGG
rnacentral:rRNA from 1 species